rnacentral:rRNA from 1 species
UGGGGAAUAUUGGACAAUGGGCGCAAGCCUGAUCCAGCAAUGCCGCGUGAGUGAUGAAGGCCUUCGGGUUGUAAAGCUCUUCCGCCCGCGACGAUGAUGACGGUAGCGGGAGAAGAAGCCCCGGCUACCUUCGUGCCAGCAGCCGCGGUAAUACGAAGGGGGCGAGCGUUGUUCGGAUUUACUGGGCGUAAAGGGCGCGUAGGCGGCCUUGUCAGUCAGGCGUGAAAGCCCCGGGCUCAACCUGGGAACGGCGCUUGGGACGGCGAGGCUGGAGUUCGGGAGAGGAGAGUGGAAUUCCCAGUGUAGAGGUGAAAUUCGUAGAUAUUGGGAAGAACACCGGUGGCGAAGGCGGCUCUCUGGACCGACGCUGACGCUGAGGCGCGAAAGCGUGGGGAGCAAAC